rnacentral:rRNA from 1 species
GCUUAGAGUUUGAUCCUGGCUCAGAUUGAACGCUGGCGGCAUGGCUAAAACAUGCAAGUCGAACGAGCUCUUCGGAGCGAGUGGCGAAAGGGCGAGGAAUACGAUCGAAUGUACCCCGAGGUGCGGGAUAGGUCAUGGAAACGUGGCGUAAUACCGCAUGUGCUCUCCGGAGGAAAGGCUUGCCGCCUUGGGAGCAGCGAUCGUCCUAUCAGGUUGUUGGUGAGGUAACGGCUCACCAAGCCGAAGACGGGUAGCGGGUGUGAGAGCAUGACCCGCCGCAUCGGGACUGAGACACUGCCCGGACUCCUACGGGAGGCUGCAGUAACGAAUCUUCCGCAAUGGGCGAAAGCCUGACGGAGCAAUGCCGCGUGUGGGAUGAAGCAUCUCAGAUGUGUAAACCACUGUCAGGGUCUAGGAACAAUGACCAGACCCAGAGGAAGGGCCGGCUAAUUCCGUGCCAGCAGCCGCGGUAAUACGGAAGGCCCGAGCGUUAUUCGGAAUCACUGGGCUUAAAGCGUACGCAGGCGGAUUUGUAGGUAUCUCGUGAAAUCCCACGGCUCAACCGUGGAACUGCGGGGUAAACCACAAGUCUUGAGGCAUGUAGGGGUCAGUGGAACGAUGUGUGGAGCGGUGAAAUGUGUAGAUAUACAUCGGAACGCCAAUGGCGAAGGCAGCUGACUGGGCAUGUCCUGACGCUCAGGUACGAAAGCGUGGGUAACGAACGGGAUUAGAUACCCCGGUAGUCCACGCCGUAACGAUGCGCACUAGGUCGUGGUACCUCUCAUGGUUUCACGGCUGAAGGUAAACUGGUUAGUGCGCCGCCUGGGGAGUACGGUCGCAAGGCUAAAACUCAAAGGAAUUGACGGGGGCUCACACAAGCGGUGGAGCAUGUUG